UACGUAGGUGACAAGCGUUGUCCGGAUUUACUGGGCGUAAAGAGCGCGCAGGCGGUCGUUCAAGUCGAGUGUGAAAGCCCCCGGCUCAACUGGGGAGGGUCACUCGAUACUGAUCGACUCGAAGGCAGGAGAGGGAAGUGGAAUUCCCGGUGUAGUGGUGAAAUGCGUAGAUAUUGGGAAGAACACCAGUGGCGAAGGCGGCUCUCUGGUCCGGUACUGACGCUGAGGCGCGAAAGCGUGGGGAGCAAACAGG
rnacentral:rRNA from 1 species